rnacentral:rRNA from 1 species
GACGAACGCUGGCGGCGUGCCUAAUACAUGCAAGUCGAACGCAGUGGGGACGGGUGAGUAACACGUGGGUAACCUCCCAUCAGAGGGGAUAACACUUGGAAACAGGUGCUAAACCGCUACUGAUGGAUGGACCCGCGGUGCAUUAGCGAGGUGGUGGGGUAACGGCUCACCAAGGCCACGAUGCAUAGCCGAUCUGAGAGGAGGAUCGGCCACACUGGUACUGAGACACGGCCCAGACUCCUACGGGAGGCAGCAGUAGGGAAUCUUGGGCAAUGGACGAAAGUCUGACCGAGCAACGCCGCGUGAAUGAAGAAGGUUUUCGGAUCGUAAAGCACUUUUGUCAGAGAAGCGGUAUCUAACCAGAAAGCCACGGCUAACUACGUGCCAGCAGCCGCGGUAAUUC